AAGUCAGGAGUGAAAGGCUACGGCUCAACCGUAGUAAGCUCUUGAAACUGGGAGACUUGAGUGCAGGAGAGGAGAGUGGAAUUCCUAGUGUAGCGGUGAAAUGCGUAGAUAUUAGGAGGAACACCAGGUGCGAAGGCGGCUCUCUGGACUGUAACUGACGCUGAGGCACGAAAGCGUGGGGAGCAAACAGGAUUAGAUACCCUGGUAGUCCACGCUGUAAACGAUGAGUACUAGGUGUCGGGGGUUACCCCC
rnacentral:rRNA from 1 species